rnacentral:rRNA from 1 species
CGGACGGGUGAGUAACGCGUGAGCAAUCUGCCGGGAAGUGGGGGAUAACUCGUCGAAAGGCGAAUUAAUACCGCAUAUGGCCAGGGGGGACAUCCUCCCGAAGCCAAAGCAGCAAUGCGCUUCCUGAUGAGCUCGCGGCCUAUCAGCUAGUUGGUGAGGUAACGGCUCACCAAGGCUAUGACGGGUAGCUGGUCUGAGAGGACGACCAGCCACACUGGAACUGAGACACGGUCCAGACACCUACGGGUGGCAGCAGUCGAGAAUUUUUCACAAUGGGGGAAACCCUGAUGGAGCGACGCCGCGUGGAGGAUGAAGGUUUUCGGAUUGUAAACUCCUGUCAUGAGGGAACAAGAAAGUGAUAGUACCUCAAGAGGAAGAGACGGCUAACUCUGUGCCAGCAGCCGCGGUAAUACAGAGGUCUCAAGCGUUGUUCGGAUUCAUUGGGCGUAAAGGGUGCGCAGGCUGCGUGGUAAGUCGGGUGUGAAAUUUAGGGGCUCAACCCCUAACCUGCAUUCGAUACUGCCAUGCUAGAGGACUGUAGAGGAGAUUGGAAUUCACGGUGUAGCGGUGAAAUGCGUAGAUAUCGUGAGGAAGACCAGUGGCGAAGGCGAAUCUCUGGGCAGUUCCUGACGCUCAUGCACGAAGGCCAGGGGAGCAAAAGGGAUUAGAUACCCCUGUAGUC